UACGAAGGUGGCAAGCGUUGUUCGGAUUUACUGGGCGUACAGGGAGCGUAGGCGGUUGGAUAAGCCCUCCGUGAAAUCUCCAGGCUUAACCUGGAAAGUGCAGAGGGGACUGUUCAGCUAGAGGAUGGGAGAGGAGCGCGGAAUUCCCGGUGUAGCGGUGAAAUGCGUAGAGAUCGGGAGGAAGGCCGGUGGCGAAGGCGGUGCUCUGGAACAUUUCUGACGCUGAGGCUCGAAAGCGUGGGGAGCAAACAGG
rnacentral:rRNA from 1 species